rnacentral:rRNA from 1 species
GAUGAACGCUGGCGGCGUGCCUAAUACAUGCAAGUCGAGCGAACAGACGAGAGUGCUUGCACUCUCUGACGUUAGCGGCGGACGGGUGAGUAACACGUGGGUAACCUACCUAUAAGACUGGGAUAACUUCGGGAAACCGGGGCUAAUACCGGAUAAUAUUUAGCUUCGCAUGAAGCAAUAGUGAAAGACGGUUCUGCUGUCCCUUAUAGAUGGACCCGCGGUGUAUUAGCUAGUUGGUGAGGUAACGGCUCACCAAGGCGACGAUACAUAGCCGACCUGAGAGGGGGAUCGGCCACAGUGGGGCUGAGAGACGGCCCAGACUCCUACGGGAGGCAGCAGUAGGGAAGCGUCCGCACUGACGAAAGUCUGACGGAGCAAUGCCGCGUGAGUGAAGAAGGUGUUCGGAUCGUAAAACUCUGUUGUAAGGGAAGAACAAGUACGUUAGUAACUGAACGUACCUUGACGGUACCUUACCAGAAAGCCACGGCUAACUACGUG